rnacentral:rRNA from 1 species
CCUACGGGGGGCAGCAGUAGGGAAUAUUGCUCAAUGGGGGAAACCCUGAAGCAGCAACGCCGCGUGGAGGAUGAAGGUUUUCGGAUUGUAAACUCCUUUUUUUAGAGAAGAUAAUGACGGUAUCUAACGAAUAAGCACCGUCUAACUCCGUUCCAGAAGCCGCGGUAAUACGGAGGGUGCAAGCGUUACUCGGAAGCACUGGGCGUAAAGCGCGCGUAGGCGGGUUAGCAAGUCAGAUGUGAAAUCCUAUGGCUUAACCAUAGAAUUGCAUUUGAAACUGUUAGUCUAGAGUAUGGGUGAGGUAGGUGGAAUUCGUGGUGUAGGGGUAAAAUCCUUAGAGAUCAAGAGGAAUACUCAUUGCGAAGGCGACCUGCUAGAACAUAACUGACGCUGAUGCGCGAAAGCGUGGGGAGCAAACAGGAUUAGAUACCCCAGUAGUC